rnacentral:lncRNA from 1 species
ACGCAAACUGUCACUGGAUUACUGGAAAGAAGCAAAAAAAUUCAGAUCUCCACAAUCACAAUCGCAGAUGAACAGCUUCUCUUACAGAGAAGAGACACAAUGAGAAUUGCUGACAGAUAACUCCAGGUAAUAGAAUUAUGGAAACAUUGCUGUCCAGUACAAUCAAUUACUCCCAUGACAAAGAUCAAGAGAAGUACAUUGAUUAGUUUUUUUUCUCUCUUACUAAAGGAAACUAAACAACUUAAAUAGAUGAGAUGACAGCAGUGAGAGCCAAAGACGCUUUCUCCUCCUCCAUCAGUCGAUCGCCUAUGGGAUUACUUGGAUCUCUGCCUCAUCUUUCGGCGCUUCCUCUUGAGCCGCCUCAUCCUCUUCUUCUUCCACUGCGUACCAGAGCAAAGAAUUUUAGCUAAACAGAAGCAAAAACUUGCAAGGAAACACGAAAUCCCCCAAAAUGCAGUCGGUACACAGAAAACUCUGGCUGCUCAUAUCUUAGAUCAGGCCAUCAGGGCAUAACAGAGACAGUUUUUUUUUCGCAGCAUCUCACAUAAGGCAAGGCGUGCUUAAUCAAAAUGACCGCAAAACUGGACACAAAUCACGGAAUUAUGAAAGAAAAUUUUAGCAUUCAGAAUGAGUAGGAGGAAUUUCUCAUCCAGUGGAUCAGUUAGAAACGAUUGAUUUCCUCAUCAUGCCAAACCAAUCCGGAAAAAAAAAAGGUAUACAAUCACUCAAUCAAACAACAUUUUAACACGGUAAUCCUCUCAGAUAAAUGCUUCGAUUGACCCCAUGUCCACAACGGAACGGAUAAGAUUUUACUAGUAGUAAACUUGUUUGCUAACCAGCGAGAACCAUACAUACAUACACAAAUAAGAGAACACCCACAAAAUCAAAACAAGAUCCAUCCAACGUGAGAGUUGAGGAGGAGGAGUCACUCACCUUGGCCCUCAUCGCGGCGGCGCGCCGCUCACCUCUGUCCUUCCUCUCCCUCCCUGACGGCGAGCUCCAAGGUCUGGAGAAGAAGCGGCUCGGUUCGGCGGCGGCGGCGCGAGCUUGGGACCUCGGUCUUAUAUGCGGCGCCCUUCUGAUAACCCUAGGUAGGAUGCGGUGUUGGGCCCGAUAAAAGCUCAUGGG